UCUUAGCGGCGGACGGGUGAGUAAUGCUUAGGAAUCUGCCUAUUAGUGGGGGACAACAUUUCGAAAGGAAUGCUAAUACCGCAUACGUCCUACGGGAGAAAGCAGGGGAUCUUCGGACCUUGCGCUAAUAGAUGAGCCUAAGUCGGAUUAGCUAGUUGGUGGGGUAAAGGCCUACCAAGGCGACGAUCUGUAGCGGGUCUGAGAGGAUGAUCCGCCACACUGGGACUGAGACACGGCCCAGACUCCUACGGGAGGCAGCAGUGGGGAAUAUUGGACAAUGGGCGCAAGCCUGAUCCAGCCAUGCCGCGUGUGUGAAGAAGGCCUUAUGGUUGU
rnacentral:rRNA from 1 species